UACGUAGGGGGCGAGCGUUGUCCGGAUUCAUUGGGCGUAAAGCGCGCGUAGGCGGCCUGAUAAGUAGGGGGUGAAAUCCUGCGGCUUAACCGCAGGGCUGCCUUCUAAACUGUCAGGCUAGAGCACAGUAGAGGCAGGUGGAAUUCCCGGUGUAGCGGUGGAAUGCGUAGAGAUCGGGAAGAACAUCAGUGGCGAAGGCGGCCUGCUGGGCUGUUGCUGACGCUGAGGUGCGAAAGCGUGGGGAGCAAACAGG
rnacentral:rRNA from 1 species